CUACUUACCUGGCAGGGGAGAUACCAUGAUCACGUAGGUGGUUUUCCCAGGGUGAGGCUCCGUCAUUGCACUUGGGCUGUGCUGACCCCUGCGAUUUCCCCAAAUGCGGGAAACUCGACUGCAUAAUUGGUGGUAGUGGGGACUGCGUUCGCGCUCUCCCCU
rnacentral:snRNA from 1 species